UCGUCACACCUAGCGAGACCGUUAGAUCAGUGAGUUGAGAGAGCGGUCUCUGGGGUCGCUGGUUCAGAUCUAUAGGUUUAGAUUUGGAAGACUGGAAAGGCUUUAGGUGCGAAGUCUCGAGGCCCACGGGGAGCUGAUAAGGGAGAGCUCCCCGAAGAAGGCAGUUUGUGGGUUUGUCUGAGAGAUACAUUAUGACGCUUCGACUUUAUGUGCCAACGUAUGUGAUGUCUGGUCAUUUUAAGCAUUUUAAGCAUAAAGUAUGACAGUGCCAAAAUAUACGUCGCUUUGUAUGUAUUAGUAAGGGGUUCCGGUCGCCUGUGUGAUUGUGACUGAGGAACUGUGCCUCCAGGGUACUUCUGAAGUUUGGUCAGUUCUAGCCCUGGACUGCAGUGAACUCAGCCUUUCUCUUAUGUGAAAUCGGAUAGGCCGCCCCGUUUUUCUCUGAUUUACCUUUGUGGGGAAUUCCCCACAGAUUGAUCUGUAGGCCGGAUCAAGUGGCGCUCAGUGUGGGGCUCCUGGCACAGAGGAGUUAACGAGGGAGCCGUUCAAGACAGCCGGCUUAAACUGAAAGUGAAACCAAAUUGAACUAGAGACGUUGGCUGAGGAGUGAGCAAACUGAAUCAAGGAUUAAAGCUUAAAGCAACAGGACCUUCAAUCAAGUACCAAGGCCUGUGCAGACAACUACCCAACAUCCUGCCCCAGUCAUGGUGACACAACCCCCCCGGAGCCUUAUGCUGCCUACUCAGCCUUUUCCUUGAGCCAUACCACACCCAUGGUGGAUUUCGAUCCCUGCCAAACAGACUACAACUGCUGACAGCCAUGCACACAAUCUCGUGACUGUGGAAGAGGCUCUUCUCGGUCUAGAGAAACAUACACCAGCCAAAUAGACUGCAUCCAGUGUUAUGCGAGGCAUGCUCCAAGACAUAGGAGAAUGACUUCAACAGAGAUACCAACAAAUGGCUGCCAACCCCUUCUCCUCGAUAUGUGUGUGGUGGGGAAGCUUUUCCCUUACCUAGUACCCCUUUUGGGUCCCCUAGCUGCCCUAUUGCUUCUCCUUUCUGUGAGCCCUUGUAUUUUUCAGAGGAUUAUGAUGCUCAUUAAUAACUGGAUAGAUGCGUUUAUGGCAAAGCCCAUUCAGGUACACUAUCAUCAGCUGGAGAUGGCAGAUCAACAAACCUACCGGGAAGGAAUUCCCAUGGGUGGCCCAUAUGACGAUGCGGCCUAACUGCCCUGGGGCAAUGGACAGGCAGUCAGAGACAGGCAACUAGGACAUGCAUGUUAAUUCCAACGGCCACCUAAGAUGGGCACAGAACCAAGUGCUGUUCUGCAAGCCCAUGAUGGGUAAGGCCUCGUUGGGUUCAUGCAAUGAGGUCCUUGACCUAAGAUAGACGCUGUCCGGCAGGGCCUGCCAUACUCUUUUGAUUAAAUAAUAUAGAAAGGGAGGCGAUGUAGGGAGCCAAACGACAGCCCAUUGCUGCCUCCCUGCCUCUCUCUCCUAUGGGCACUGCGUCUGCCUACAUUAACCAUAAUCCUCUCCUGCUUACAUCACAUACCCGGAUGUGAUGGUGACCCUGUUGUAUUCAUCCCCUUAGCCUCUUCCUGUACCACCUCCUGCCCUUGGCCUAUAAAAGGUGUGAUCACUUCCUGAAUAAACGGAGGCUUGAUCGGA